rnacentral:rRNA from 1 species
AGUGAACGCUGGCGGUAGGCCUAACACAUGCAAGUCGAACGGCAGCACAGUAAGAGCUUGCUCUUACGGGUGGCGAGUGGCGGACGGGUGAGGAAUACAGCGGAAUCUACUUUUUCGUGGGGGAUAACGUAGGGAAACUUACGCUAAUACCGCAUACGACCUACGGGUGAAAGCAGGGGAUCUUCGGACCUUGCGCGAUUGAAUGAGCCGAUGUCGGAUUAGCUAGUUGGCGGGGUAAAGGCCCACCAAGGCGACGAUCCGUAGCUGGUCUGAGAGGAUGAUCAGCCACACUGGAACUGAGACACAGUCAAGACACCUACAGGAGGAAGCAGUGGGAAAUAUUGGACAAUGGGAGCAAGACUGAGAAAGCCAUACCGCGUAAGUGAAGAAGGCCUCCGAGUUGUAAAGACCUUUUGUUGGGAAAGAAAAGCAGUAUGUUAAUACCCCGCUGUUCUGACGGUAAACGAAGAAUAAGCACCGGCUAACUUCGUG